GAUGAACGCUGGCGGCGUGCUUAACACAUGCAAGUCGAACGGUGAACGAGGGAGCUUGCUCCCUCCGGAUCAGUGGCGAACGGGUGAGUAACACGUGAGCAAUCUGCCCUGGACUCUGGGAUAAGCGUUGGAAACGACGUCUAAUACCGGAUACGAGGCGUGGGGGCAUCCCCAACGCCUGGAAAGAACUUCGGUCCAGGAUGAGCUCGCGGCCUAUCAGCUUGUUGGUGAGGUAACGGCUCACCAAGGCGACGACGGGUAGCCGGCCUGAGAGGGUGACCGGCCCCACUGGGACUGAGGCACGGCCCAGACUCCUACGGGAGGCAGCAGUGGGGAAUAUUGCACAAUGGGCGCAAGCCUGAUGCAGCAACGCCGCGUGAGGGACGACGGCCUUCGGGUUGUAAACCUCUUUUAGCAGGGAAGAAGCGAAAGUGACGGUACCUGCAGAAAAAGCACCGGCUAACUACGUGCCAGCCGCCGCUGUAACAC
rnacentral:rRNA from 1 species